GGGUGAUAAAGGAAAUGAAGGGAGGAAAAGCAUUUUCCUAAGCCCACUGCAAAAACUGGAACCAGAGGAGACGGAGAAUGUUAACUCCUUGUAUAUAUGUGUGAGAAAGAACCUGAGCUGGAAUUAAAACAGAGGCACUCCCUCUGAAGAGGAAGGAGAAACUGAGAGAGUGAGGCAGUUCCUGCUGAACCUUUGUUAGCUCUUGUGGUGAAGGGAGUUUUCGCCAUCAGGGGCAGCCUUGGGAGAGGAUGCUGCUAUAGAAAAAGCUCAUGAAACUCAAAGGCACAGAGACAAGCUCAUGGCUGCAUUAUGAAGCUUGCAUAGUCCCAGGAGAGCGGAUAGCCCUCUUAGCAGAUUCAAAUUCCACUCUCUCUAGAAACAUGAAGUAGCAGCCUACUGUGUACAAGAAAGCCAUCAGCAAUGAGUAGAGACAGCGUUUCACCAUAUUGGCCAGGCUGGUCUCAAAUUCCUGACUUCCAGUGAUGUGCCCACCUCGGCCUCCCAAACUGCUGGGAUCCACUUUGCUCUGCCUCAGGGACCUGCAGCCAAGUUCGUUACGGACCAGCUUGCUGAGUUGUCUUGAAAAGCGGGCUUACAGGUGUUCUAAGCCCAUGUUUUAUCCUGAAGUUCCCCUCGACAAGAAAAACGAAUUCAUAGCACAAAGUACACCAGUUUAAGACUAGCCUUAGAAUUCUUUUUUGCAUUAAUCCAAACAGAAGAGAUUUGUUUUACCAUUCCUUCAAUCGUUCCCACAGAGAGAAGUCAGAAAUCUGACUGGUAAGAAAUUUUUACCCUUUUGCCGGCAUGCCAAUCUUCUGGGUUCUCUUUCUCUGAGCAGUCCUAGUGAUCCAGCUUGUGGCACCAUCACCCUGGGGCCAAGCCACAUUAUAAAGGAAUUUUUUUUUUUCAUUCUGGCCAGAGCAAAAUACAUGUGAUAAAACACAGACAUUAGCCACUCUGCUUAGCACCCAAUAUCAAACUGGCAAGGCUUAAAUUUUCCCCCAGAUGAGUCCCAUCAUCUUUAAUCCAACCUCCGACUUGGAGUAUCAACAUAUGGUCUCUGGGCAAGAUGGUCACCCUGAGUGACAGAAAAUAUAGGAAAGGAAAAGUAGAGAAGGAAAGUAUUACCUGUGGUAGGGUGGGGAAGGUGAAGAGCUCAGGGAAGCCAGAGAAAACGCCCACUCAUUGCAGCCGACAAUGAAAAGUUCAAGGCCGGGUGUGGUGGCUCGAACCUGUAAUCCUAGUACUUUGGGAGGCCGAGGCGGGUGGAUCACCUGAGGUCGGGAGUUGAAGACCAGCCUGACCAACAGGGAGAAACCCUGUCUCCACUAAAAAUACACAAUUAGCCUAGCGUGGUGGCGCAUUGCUGUAAUCCCAGCUACUCAGGAGGCUGAGGCAGGAGAAUUGCUUGAACCUGGGAGGCGGAGGUUGUGGUGAGACGAGAUCGUGCCAUUGCACUCCAGCCUGGGAAACAAGAGCAAAACUCCAUCUCAAAAAACAAGAAAGGAAGGAAGGAAGGAAGAAAGAAAAGGAAAGGAAAGGAAAGGAAAAAGGAAAGGAAAGGAAAAGACAGGACAGGACAGGAAAGGAAAGGAAAAGAAAGGAAAGGAAAGGAAAAGACAGGACAGGACAGGAAAGGAAAGGAAAAGAAAGGAAAGGAAAGGAAAGGAAAGGAAAGGAAAGGAAAGGAAAAGACAGGACAGGACAGGAAAGGAAAGGAAAAGAAAGGAAAGGAAAGGAAAGGAAAGGAAAGGAAAGGCAAGGCAAGGCAAGGCAAGGCAAGGCGCGGUGGCUCACGCCUGUAAUCCCAGCACUUUGGGAGGCUAAGGCGGGAGGAUCACCUGAGGUCAGGAGUUCGAGACCAGCCUCAACAUGGAAAAACCCCGUCUCUACUAAAAAUACAAAAUUACCUGGGCGUGGUGGUGCAUGCCUGUAACCCCAGCUACUUGGGAG
rnacentral:lncRNA from 1 species